GAUGAACGCUGGCGGCGUGCCUAAUACAUGCAAGUCGAGCGAACAGACGAGGAGCUUGCUCCUCUGACGUUAGCGGCGGACGGGUGAGUAACACGUGGAUAACCUACCUAUAAGACUGGGAUAACUUCGGGAAACCGGAGCUAAUACCGGAUAAUAUAUUGAACCGCAUGGUUCAAUAGUGAAAGACGGUUUUGCUGUCACUUAUAGAUGGAUCCGCGCCGCAUUAGCUAGUUGGUAAGGUAACGGCUUACCAAGGCAACGAUGCGUAGCCGACCUGAGAGGGUGAUCGGCCACACUGGAAAUGAGACACGGUCCUGACUCCUACGGGAGGCAGCAGUAGGGAAUCUUCCGCAAUGGGCGAAAGCCUGACGGAGCAACGCCGCGUGAGUGAUGAAGGUCUUCGGAUCGUAAAACUCUGUUAUUAGGGAAGAACAAAUGUGUAAGUAACUAUGCACGUCUUGACGGUACCUAAUCAGAAAGCCACGGCUAACUACGUG
rnacentral:rRNA from 1 species